rnacentral:rRNA from 1 species
CUGAAAUUCGCCUUCAUGAAGCUGGAAUUGCUAGUAAUGGCAGGUCAGCAUACUGCCGUGAAUACGUUCCCGGGCCUUGUACACACCGCCCGUCACACCAUGAGAGUUGGAAAUACCCGAAGCCUGUGAGCUAACUUAAAGAGGCAGCAGUCGAAGGUAGAGCCAAUGAUUGGGGUGAAGUCGUAACAAGGUAAC